UCCCUGGUGGUCUAGUGGCCAGGAUUUGAUACUUUCACUGCUGUGACCUGGGUUCAAUUCCCAGUUAAGGAA
rnacentral:tRNA from 1 species